CAGCUCAUAAUAAAGGAGCUCUGGCCCAGACAGCACGUUAAUCGCUGUCUCCUCUCUGAUUCACAGUGCUGAUCAGAGGCUUAGAAUUGGAUAAGUCUUCCCCCUUGGGAUCCGAAACUGGCGGUGGAAUAAAGGCCUAACAAGGUGCUGCCCUAUGCCUCACUAGCUUUGUUGAGGAGAACCUCUGGAAUCCCACGGACCGUGAACUUCACUGAACAUCUUACCUGGAUGGCAGUCCGAACGGGUCAGUGUACCGCUCCAGUCGCGAACCCUGUCCACCCUCCAUCGAAGGAUUAUCUCCAGGCUUCCGCAAGCACCGUUCUCCAGAUCUGUUCUCAGUCCGGACACGCCCUCUCCCUGGAGCCCAGCCCUGGUUACAUGGUUGCCGGACCUCGUUCCUGUGUUUAAAUAAAAUAAAUUAAAACGUU